rnacentral:lncRNA from 1 species
AUUGAGGUUCGCAACAGCGAGAAUCAUCUGGCUAGUUAUGGACUCGAGAACAUCGAGUGGCGUAGAACUGAACCACGGCUCCGUAACUUGGUCCGAGUGCAUCAUGGAAGACUCCAGCGUGUCGCGGAACCCUGCCGGGUACCAUAGGAAGACGUUGAAAACUUUUUCUGACAAAAGGUCGUUCCAUUUCUCUUCCGAUUCCCCCGAAGAAAAAGCAGCUUCCUUCCUUCCUUCGGAUGUUCGCGAUGCCCCUCGCCGACGUCCGGGAGGCGGGGUGCUCUCCCGGACCCCGCUGUGCCGCAGGAGUGCUCCCGGAAUAAGGAUGUGUUCCUCUGUGGCCAACUGUUCUGCGCGCCAAGACGGAAGGUGACGCCAUAUCCUCAGCUCCCAUGCGAGUCGCUCUUCCACUUCUUGUUCGUAGACUCUGUCCACUUCGGCCACAAAUCCUUCGAGCAUCUGGUACGAUGACCGACGCUCCCUACUGGAAGGUGUCUGAGGCAAGUUUGAGAGCAGGUUCUUCAACGGAAUCGAGUCUGUCUCCUGUUUGACUAUCGCCGAAACUUUCGUCACAAACAACCCUCGUGCUGCCGCCGUUAACUCGAUUCCUUUGAGGUGCAUUGUUUCCCCUGAUUUAUCUGUGUCGUGACUUGUAAACGCGAUAGAAUGCGGCGAUACCCCCUGCGGGUCCUUGCUGCGUCCGGCACCAAACUCAUACUUCGCAGCACGAUCCGGAGCCAGAAAACGAAAUGUGUUUGCCUUGGGACCAGUGGCGGAGGUGCGGAGCCCAGCGCUAAAUACUGCAAAGCGCUUUUCCUUAAAGGCAUUUUCAUUCGCAACAACUUUUGGCCUCUCGGUUUCGGCCAGGAUACGAGCAACGUCCUUC